rnacentral:lncRNA from 1 species
AAUUUAUAUCAAAUAUAUUAGAAUGGUUUAUUGGUUGCUUUAAUGAUUAAGUUUUAUAUGAAUCAUGGUUAAGAAUUCGUUUUGUUGGUUCAAAAAAAUUACUUGCCCAUUGAAAUCCCAGAAUCGAACUAGAAUCCUCUCUUAAAUAAGUCUUUUAUUUCUUUUAAGAAUUCGUUCCGUUGGUUCAAAAAAAUUACUUGCCCAUUGGAAUCCCAUAAUUGAACUAGAAUCAUCUCUUAAAAAACUCCUUUAUUUCUUUUAAAAAUUCAUUUUGUUGGUUCAAAAAAUUUAUUUGCCCAUUGGAAUCCCAGAAUCGAAUUAGAAUCCUCUCUUAAAAAAUCCUUUAUUAUCAAACCCGCUAACCAAUACACCAUUUACUACUUAGUUGAUAAAAAAAAGUGC